AGAGUUUGAUCCUGGCUCAGAUUGAACGCUGGCGGCGUGCUUAACACAUGCAAGUCGUGCGAGAAAGGGGACUUCGGUCCCUGAGUAGAGCGGCGCACGGGUGAGUAACGCGUGGAUAAUCUCCCCAGAAGUUCGGGAUAACGGCGGGGAACUGCCGCUAAUACCGGAUACGCUCCAAUUUCGGUUGGGGGAAAGGCGGCCUCUGUUUACAAGCUGUCGCUUCUGGAUGAGUCCGCGUCCCAUUAGCUUGUUGGUGGGGUAAUGGCCUACCAAGGCUACGAUGGGUAGCUGGUCUGAGAGGAUGAUCAGCCACACUGGAACUGAAACACGGUCCAGACUCCUACGGGAGGCAGCAGUGGGGAAUAUUGCGCAAUGGGGGAAACCCUGACGCAGCGACGCCGUGUGAGGGAUGAAGGCUUUCGGGUC
rnacentral:rRNA from 1 species